CCGGGAUGAUGUAUUUUAGCCAAAUCAGACAAUGGUGUGCUCCUGGAGGCAGUAUCCUGUUGGCCUUAGCGAGUGGCUUUGGUAGAGGCACCCAUGUGAUCUUUGCCAAGCUCUUGACUGAGCAUAGAUGGGAAGCUUCUAGUGAAGUGCACCUCUGAUGAUAACAUUGAGAAUGGUUGCUUGCUGACCGGA